GAUGAACGCUAGCGGCAGGCCUAAUACAUGCAAGUCGGACGGUAGACGAUCUUUCGGGAUUGUUGAGAGUGGCGCACGGGUGCGUGACGCGUAUGCAACCUACCUUAUACUGUGGGAUAGCCCGGGGAAACCCGGAUUAAUACCGCAUGGUACCAUCAGAUGGCAUCUGAAGAUGGUUAAAGCCCCGGCAUCUGUCGGGGCGGUAUAAGAUGGGCAUGCGUAGGAUUAGCUGGUUGGCGGGGUAACGGCCCACCAAGGCGACGAUGGAUAGGGGAACUGAGAGGUUUAUCCCCCACACUGGUACUGAGACACGGUCCAGACUCCUACGGGAGGCAGCAGUGGGGAAUAUUGCACAAUGGGCGAAAGCCUGAUGCAGCAACGCCGCGUGAGCGAUGAAGGCCUUCGGUCGUAAGCUCUGUCCUAUGGAAGAUAAUGACGGUACCAUAGGAGGAAGCCCCGGCUAACUACGUGCCAGCAGCCGCG
rnacentral:rRNA from 1 species